GGAGUUUGGACCGUGUCUCAGUUCCAAUGUGGGGGACCUUCCUCUCAGAACCCCUACUGAUCGUCGACUUGGUGAGCCGUUACCUCACCAACUAUCUAAUCAGAAGCGUGCUCACCCAUAGUCCUUACGUUUCAUCACAAAGUCAUGCGGCUUCGUGACACAUGGAGCUUUAAUCCAACUUUCGCUGGGCUAUUCCCCGACUAUGGACAGAUUGCACACCUGUUACGCACCCGUGCGCCGGUCGCCGGCAAGUAUUGCUACUCCCGUUACCGCUCGACUUGCAUGUGUUAGGCCUGCCGCUAGCGUUUAUC
rnacentral:rRNA from 1 species